CAGGGCCGGAUGGUGAGGUCUGGAGGGCCGCAUCAUGCUUCUCCCCGGGUUUCUCAUCUCUGGAGGGGAGAAACCCAAGGAGCAUCUCUUUCCCCCAGAAAUAACUCCGAACGCCUUUCAGAGUCUCUUGCGGAGGAGUGGGAGACAGGAGGGAGGAAGGUAGGAAGGGAUGAGGGUUUUUCUUUUUUUUCACUAGGCAUCAGGCAGGCAGACAAAUCCAAGGCUGUUUUUCAGUGGCCUGGAGUUGUCGCUUUUCCUCCAGGCUGUUUACCCUCCAGAUUUAGACUGUUUGCUCACUCAAGAUCUCGUAGCCAGCUGGGUAACUCUUGCGACUCUACCGUGUGUGUGUGUGUGAGUGUGUUGGCUUCCAGCGUGUCUGUUUGCUUUGGAAAUGGCCGCAGCUCUUAUAAAAUCACAUUAAGCAAAUCCCUUACAGUUUAAUUAUAGGAAUCACUUUACCCAAAUCAAUGGCAAAUAACUUUUUUUUAUAACACACACACACACACACACACACACACACACACACAGAUGGGUGGAAGCGGGGUCCAUUCACGACUGGUUUGGUAGCGACGGUGUUGUAUGAAAAUGCCCACUUGUCAGUCGUUGAGUAGGAACGAUGGUCUUUUGAAAGGGUGCGUAUAGGCAGGAGAAGGGUCAAGAAAAUCGCCAAGGCCAUAAAUCAAGGCCGAGGAGGCCCUUUGCUAGACUCCAGCUUCCGCCAUUCCUGUCACCUCUCCAAGUGAUGUGUAUUUGAAGAGGCCUGGAGGAGAGCUGCCAUGGGAAGCCUGAGACAAGAGAGACAGAUCGAAGAGACACCCACCCCAAGAAUCUACAGUUCCCUGGACCCUUAACAAACUACAAUUCCCAGGAUCAUUGAGGUGGGAUUGGACGUGCUUUAAAUGCACAGUGCGGGAUAACAGCCUACAUAGACCUGGGAAAAGUUACUGUUCAACCCGAGCUAUAGGGCGUCUGCUGCCUUCGUCGUCUUUGCGAGAUGUGCCUCGUUUAAUCCAAUCGAUUCAAAGCACAGCAUCUCUGGCUACUUCACUCCCAAGGACUGGAGCUUCAGUCCUGUCGAUCGUUUCAAUGCACCCCACCUUCGGACACAUCUGCUUGGAGAUAAGCCCCACCGAUUUAUGGUUUUAGCAUGCCAGUCCCAAAUCAAUUUCAGAUUAAACCUGUAACCUUACUGGAGCAGUAAACCCCAGUUGAUAAAAGAGGACUUCCUCCCACGUAAAACGUUGUAUUGAAUCGUGCACCGAUUCAGAAUAGCGUGGUGCUUUGGUCACGCCGUAGAAGUAGGCUGCAAUCCUGCACACACUUUCUUGGAAAGUAAACCCCGUUGAACUCGGUGGGGCUGAAUUUUCGGCGAGAAGGAGCACGAUCUGGGAGUUUCAUUAGGAGCUGCUCCGGAUUAAGUGUAGUCAUUUGCAAUAAAUUACUUGGAUAGGGAUUCCUGUGUAAGGAUUAGAAGUUUGAUUUGGUUUUUAGAUUGAAUGAAAGCGGGGAGCCCAUCAAGCGAUGAUGUUGAGAUGCUUGAUUUGACACGUGUAAGCCACCCUUCCCUGUCCCAGUCUCUCUCCAUCCUCCCCACCCGAUUUCUGGACUCUCUCCUUCGCUGGUUUAUAUUUGGCACAUCCGGAGCGGAGAGCCCAGGGAGCGUUCAGCAAGAAAGCCGGAGCCGGUUUGGUCCGUGCACAAUCUGCUCAUUGUUUAGGGCUCGGGGAUCCGGGACCAGGGAGGUGGGGGGUGGGGGCGGUCGGCUGGCUGGCUGAAGUGGUCACGGCAGGAGCCUGUGGCGGCGGCACUCGGGUUGGAAAAAGCCUUCAGCUCAACCCCAACCUCAACCUCGUGUUCUGCUGAGCUUGGAGUUUCUUGCAGCAGCCGCCUCUCCUUGCUACAAAUAAGGAUGCCGCGCGGGGCAGGAAGGAACCUAUGUGCCAUCCCAGCGGCAUGACACGUAGGAAGAAUGGGAGUCAUUCUUUUCCUUGGUCUUUUUUUGGAGAACUUCUGAUUUCCAGCAUCACCAAAGGCAGCUGAAGUCUUUACUAGGAGUGCCAUCUUGUGGCUCAGAGGCGCGCUGCUCCGCGAAGGAGUCUGGAGAAGGGGCCGGAAGUUGGGGACUCAAUCCGGGCGCAGGUUUAAAGUAGCCCACGGAGACCCUCGCAGCCCUGCUCUGCGUGCAAGUGUUGCAGGUCGGAUCCGCAGGACCCGGUGACGGCCUGGUCAGGUUAAACAGAACCUCGCGCAAUUGCAUGGACCAGCAGAGCCAUAGGAAAGGCCGCUUCAGCUUAUCCUUCUUCCCCAGAAAGGCAGGACGCAAACCAUCAACUCCCAAGAACAACAACAAUAUAUGGGACACCAGAGAAGAUGCUGUAACGUGGAGUGAGGUUUCAGCCGCUCCAUUAUGCCCCCUCUCUGUGCAGCUGCCUCCCCCCAGCUCUCACCCACCCGCACCAGCCAGUCAGCUUUCUGUAGUCUCUGAGCCUGCUCAUUCUUCAGGAAGCUGCUCCUGGUUUCAAGUCCCCCAUCCUGGCAACACACACACACCUACAAACCAUGGGCAUUUCCAAGGCUGCUGCUGUCUGCCCGCAGUUGUGGGUGAGUGGUGCUAUUUUGGCUACAGAAGCAACAUCAGGGGUGCCAGCAGGGCCGGAUUUAGGUCUGAUGAGCCCCUAACUUGCUACUGAAGGUAAUGGGGCCCUUUAUAUUUCCAGCUGUCCUUUGUCAACAACAAAUUGUUGCUUUUUUGUGUUGAAUAUGUGCUAUAUGGUAAUUGAUGGACCUAAUAGGUAUCUAAAGCCAUUUGCACAUAACAAAAUAUGUAUUUUAUCAAAGUAAUUGUUGAACUGAAAUACAAUUAAGAAAAAGUAUAUUAAUAGUGAAAUACAAUAAAGAAGUAUAUUAACAGUGAAAUAAUUAUUCGCUGUGGGUAAAACCUCAGUGCCUAGGACUUGCCGAUCGUAUGGUUGGCGGUUCGAAUCCCCGCGGCGGGGUGAGCUCCCGUCUUUCGGUCCCAGCUCCUGCCCACCUAGCAGUUCGAAAGCACCCCUAAGUGCAAGUAGAUAAAUAGGUACCGCUUUAUAGCAGGAAGGUAAACGGCGUUUCCAUGUGCUGCGCUGGUGCUGGCUCGCCAGAGCAGCUUCGUCACACUGGCCACAUGACCCAGAAGUGUCUCCGGACAGCGCUGGCCCCCGGCCUCUUAAGUGAGAUGGGCGCACAACCCUAGAGUCGGACACGACUGGCCCGUACGGGCAGGGGUACCUUUACCUUUACCUUUAACUGUAUGUAGGUUUAUUUUAUUUGUUUUUUAUCUUAUAUUUUGGAAAUGUACAUCCAGUUUUUUCCCCCCUUCAGAUUUUUUUGGGACCCCCAAGAAAGUGGGGCCUUAAGCUAUAGCUUGUUUAGCUUAUAUGUAAAUCCAGCACUGGGUGCCCGCUUGAAUAAAAUAUUGGGGGGGGGCGGGGGUAGGUAAGCUCCACCCCACAUUACCACAUGACAUGGCACACUCACCCCAUUUGUCUGGCAAUGCCCAUCAACUUCGGGAGGCCCCGGGCCCCUCAAAUAUUUUAUUAGGGGGAGGCCAAAGUGACCUCGGCCCCUCAGAGUUGGCUCCUAUGGCAACGGCACUCACUGGGACGGCUGGACAUGGCACUUUCCCGGCACCCAUCCUUUUGGCAGACCAACUCUGCAUGUCAAAGAUGUCUGUAACCGUGACAUGAAGACUGGCAAUAUCAACCCUGUAAUGUGGGAAUCCCUUGCAGAUGACCACAGAGCUUGGAGACAGGAUCCAUAUCAGCGACCAGAGGAGGAAUGACUGCUGGGAGGAGGGCAGAGAGAAGAAACUGCUGCCACAAAACAUGUCUCUUCCAUAUUGGUCUCAACAGCCACAGCAGGCACUGUAACCUUCCAACAGUUUGACUUCACCCCCAAAGGCACACUCCUCCAUUGUCUCCGGAGCACACAGAUGCCAAGAGACCAAGUUACAUACUGGCCAAAAGUGGGCAGGUCCCUGCCUCCAAGGAGCUUACCAUUUAAACUAGACAAUGGGAGAGGGAAAUGAGGCAAGGCAGGGAGGGGAUACUGAGAAAGUUACAUAUGUACAGUUAAAGCACACUGUUGCCCUUCUGAAACAAAACUGCCUUUUUGUGGCAGGAAAUGCAUUGAAAAGUGUAGAAUGAAUGGAUGAUGAAUGCAAAGAUGUAUAAGCACCCUGCCAGCAAAAUCAGGGUGUGAAUGCUCACCUAACCUCUCCACAAAUGAACUGAAACACAUUCUCAAUAAUGACCAGACCUAGAGGGCCUUCUCGGUGGUGGCGCCUGCCCUGUGGAACACCCUCCCAUCAGAUGUCAAGGAAAUAAACAACUAUCUAACUUUUAUAAAACAUCAGAAGGCAGCCCUGUUUAGGGAAGUUUUUAAUGUUUGAUGUUUUAUCACUUUGAUGAUGAUGAUGAUGAUGAUGGGAGCUACCCAGAGUGGCUGGGGAAACCCAGCCAGAUGGGUGGAAUAUAAAUAAAUUAUUAUUAUUAUUAUUAUUAUUAAUUUCUUACAUUGGUUUGAGACACCCAAAUUAGGCAAUUUCUUGUUAAAAUGCAAGCAGAAAUGAAUCUCUCUCCCGUCCCCAGGAGCCAGUGAAUGUAUAAACCAAAGGGAAGGGAAGAGAGGAGAGCCUGGUCACUGAGCAACAGGCUUCAGAUGAGAGCUGGAGAUACUGAGGCAAAGCAGGUGCUGGAGUGGAGACAAGCAUAAAAACAGUAAAAGGCAAAUGACCCG